GCGUGUAGGUGUGUGUUCCAGGUAAAUCCGGUUCACUUUAACACUGAGGCGUGAUGACGAGGCACUACGGUGCUGAAGCAACAAAUGCCCUGCUUCCAGGAAAAGCCUCUAAGCAUCAGGUAACAUCAAAUCGUACCCCAAACCGACACAGGUGGUCAGGUAGAGAAUACCAAGGCGCUUGAGAGAACUCGGGUGAAGGAACUAGGCAAAAUGGUGCCGUAACUUCGGGAGAAGGCACGCUGACACGUAGGUGAAGUGAUUUACUCAUGGAGCUGAAGUCAGUCGAAGAUACCAGCUGGCUGCAACUGUUUAUUAAAAACACAGCACUGUGCAAACACGAAAGUGGACGUAUACGGUGUGACGCCUGCCCGGUGCCGGAAGGUUAAUUGAUGGGGUCAGCGCAAGCGAAGCUCCUGAUCGAAGCCCCGGUAAACGGCGGCCGUAACUAUAACGGUCCUAAGGUAGCGAAAUUCCUUGUCGGGUAAGUUCCGACCUGCACGAAUGGCGUAAUGAUGGCCAGGCUGUCUCCACCCGAGACUCAGUGAAAUUGAACUCGCUGUGAAGAUGCAGUGUACCCGCGGCAAGACGGAAAGACCCCGUGAACCUUUACUAUAGCUUGACACUGAACAUUGAGCCUUGAUGUGUAGGAUAGGUGGGAGGCUUUGAAGUGUGGACGCCAGUCUGCAUGGAGCCGGCCUUGAAAUACCACCCUUUAAUGUUUGAUGUUCUAACGUGGACCCGUGAUCCGGGUUGCGGACAGUGUCUGGUGGGUAGUUUGACUGGGGCGGUCUCCUCCUAAAGAGUAACGGAGGAGCACGAAGGUUGGCUAAUCCUGGUCGGACAUCAGGAGGUUAGUGCAAUGGCAUAAGCCAGCUUGACUGCGAGCGUGACGGCGCGAGCAGGUGCGAAAGCAGGUCAUAGUGAUCCGGUGGUUCUGAAUGGAAGGGCCAUCGCUCAACGGAUAAAAGGUACUCCGGGGAUAACAGGCUGAUACCGCCCAAGAGUUCAUAUCGACGGCGGUGUUUGGCACCUCGAUGUCGGCUCAUCACAUCCUGGGGCUGAAGUAGGUCCCAAGGGUAUGGCUGUUCGCCAUUUAAAGUGGUACGCGAGCUGGGUUUAGAACGUCGUGAGACAGUUCGGUCCCUAUCUGCCGUGGGCGCUGGAGAACUGAGGGGGGCUGCUCCUAGUACGAGAGGACCGGAGUGGACGCAUCACUGGUGUUCGGGUUGUCAUGCCAAUGGCACUGCCCGGUAGCUAAAUGCGGAAGAGAUAAGUGCUGAAAGCAUCUAAGCACGAAACUUGCCCCGAGAUGAGUUCUCCCUGAGACUUUAGGUCUCCUGAAGGAACGUUGAAGACGACGACGUUGAUAGGCCGGGUGUGUAAGCGCAGCGAUGCGUUGAGCUAACCGGUACUAAUGAACCGUGAGGCUUAACCUUACA
rnacentral:rRNA from 1 species